rnacentral:misc_RNA from 1 species
UUAAGUUCAGCGGGUAUCCCUACCUGAUCCGAGGUCAACCUGUAAAAAAUUGGGGGUUGCUGGCAAGCGUCCACCGGGCACCUAGAGCGAGAGAUUUACUACGCUUAGAGCCAGAUGGCACCGCCACUGAUUUAGGGCACACCGUUGCCGGUGAGGCCCAAUACCAAGCAGAGCUUGAGGGUUGUAAUGACGCUCGAACA